rnacentral:rRNA from 1 species
GGCGGCAUGCCUUACACAUGCAAGUCGAACGGCAGCACGGGAGCAAUCCUGGUGGCGAGUGGCGAACGGGUGAGUAAUAUAUCGGAACGUGCCCAGUAGUGGGGGAUAGCCCGGCGAAAGCCGGAUUAAUACCGCAUACGACCUAUGGGUGAAAGCGGGGGAUCGCAAGACCUCGCGCUAUUGGAGCGGCCGAUAUCAGAUUAGCUUGUUGGUGGGGUAAAAGCCUACCAAGGCGACGAUCUGUAGCUGGUCUGAGAGGACGACCAGCCACACUGGGACUGAGACACGGCCCAGACUCCUACGGGAGGCAGCAGUGGGGAAUUUUGGACAAUGGGCGCAAGCCUGAUCCAGCCAUGCCGCGUGCGGGAAGAAGGCCUUCGGGUUGUAAACCGCUUUUGUCAGGGAAGGAACGGCUCUUACUAAUAUUAGGAGCUAAUGACGGUACCUGAAGAAUAAGCACCGGCUAACUACGUGCCAGCAGCCGCGGUAAUACGUA